ACUGACCAUGAUGUGAUGUCAUAAAGUACAUCCGAGUUAAGUGCAUAUAUGUAAUUCAGAUCAAAUGACAUGGAAUUCUACUAUUCGUUAAAAUUAUUUGUUUUCCACUUUUUUGUGGGGCGGGUUGGAUUGUCUCAAGCUUAACCCAUUUACCUUUCUAAAGUUUUACUUUAAUAGUCAAACCUCAACACACAGCAUUCUACUGAAUUAUGAACAUAAAGAACAAGUGAAACUAAUAAAAGUGCCAACAAUAAAAAAACACAAAGGAUGGAAAUAGUAGGAAAACAUGGAGAAAUAUAGGACAGAGGAUAAACAUACUUUUAUAAUUCCACAAACUAUCAUGAAUUUGGAAUAAAAAAUUGGCUUGCCAUAACCAAAUUCAAGAAUGCAGAACUCAAUUUUCAUCAGUUUCAAAUUUGAAAUGAUUGCAGCAACAUCGAGUGCAACCAUAAAAACCCCUACUAAGUGAAUCAAUAAUCUGAAAAUAUAAAUAAAUUCAUAUUGACCUGUCAUGGAUUGGGCCAUCAUUUUUAUUUAUCUAGUUGGCUUGUAUGGUGGGCUAGCCCAAGCCUUAUAGGUUGUUUUUGUUCUACAUAUAGCUUGGCUUUGAAGACAAUGAGGGUCGUCGAGUUGAUGAAUUGAAAUUGGCUACUGCCGUCUAUCCUCUUCUCUGCCUCUUCUUGGUGCCUCCGGUUCUUCUUCUUCUUCCUCUGUGCUUUUUGUGUUUCUCCCUUUGUGGUAAGCUUCUUCUUCUCCUGUUUUCUCCUCUAUUUCUACUACUUCCUCUUCUCUGAAUUUCUCUAUUUCUUCUUCCUCCACUAGUCUAUCUCUUUCUCUGCUAGUCUAUAUUGUAACCUUUUGCAUUGUAAUAGUAUUGUCCAUUUAUGAGAUGAAGAUCAGUUGUUAUUGUUAGUAAUUUCACUUUAUGUUAUUCAAUUUGGGUUAUUAUAAUUUAUAUUCUGCCUCUUGUGUCUACUGUUGCUUGUUAUCGGUUGAGUUUUACAAAAAUUGGGCUCCAACCAUAACAAAUGGUAUCAUGUCAUGGAUUGGGCCAUCUAUUUUAUUUAUCUAGUUGGGCUUGUAUAGUGGGCUAGCCCAAGCCCUAUAGGUUGUUUUUGUUCUACCUAUAGCUUGGGUUUGAAGACAAUGAGGGUUGUCGAAUUCAUGAAUUGAAAUUGGCUACUGCCGUCUAUCCUCUUCUCUGCCUCUUCUCGGUGCCUCCGGUUCUUCUUCUUCUCUUCCUCUGUGCUUUUUGUGUUUCUCCCUUUUUGCUUGGGUUUGAAGACAAUGAGGGUUGUCGAAUUGAUGAAUUGAAAUUGGCUACUGCCGUCUAUCCUCUUCUCUGCCUCUUCUCGGUGCCUCCGGCUCUUCUUCUUCUCUUCCUCUGUGCUUUUUGUGUUUCUCCCUUUUUGGUAAUCUUCUUCUUCUCUUGUUUUCUCCUCUGUUUCUCCUGCUUCCUCUUCUCUGAAUUUCUCUGUUUCUUCUUCCUCCACUAGUCUAUCUCUUUCUCUGCUGCUCUAUAUUAUACUUGUAACCUUUGCAUUGUAAUAGUAUUGUCCAUUUAUGAGAUGAAGAUCAGUUGUUAUUGUUA